AUUUGUUAUUCCUGCAAGGGUUAUCGGUUCCUUACUCUCAACUGACAAUCAGGACAUCAUUCAAAAAGGUAUGAAAUGUUUGUCACCAGAAGUACUAAGGUAUCGGGAAGUGCCAUGACCUACUUACGGGCCCUAUCAUCACAAGUUGGCUAUAUAUACACA